UACGAAGGGGGCUAGCGUUGCUCGGAAUGACUGGGCGUAAAGGGCGCGUAGGCGGAUGGCACAGUCAGAUGUGAAAUUCCUGGGCUUAACCUGGGGGCUGCAUUUGAUACGUGUUGUCUAGAGUGAGGAAGAGGGUCGUGGAAUUCCCAGUGUAGAGGUGAAAUUCGUAGAUAUUGGGAAGAACACCGGUGGCGAAGGCGGCUCACUGGCCCGUUACCGACGCUCAGGCGCGACAGCGUGGGGAGCAAACAGG
rnacentral:rRNA from 1 species